UACGAAGGGGGCUAGCGUUGUUCGGAAUUACUGGGCGUAAAGCGUACGUAGGCGGCGGAUUAAGUCGAAUGUUAAAGCCUGAGGCUCAACCUCAGAGAUGCACUCGAUACUGGUCUGCUAGAGGGUGAUAGAGGAAAGCGGAAUUCCCAGUGUAGCGGUGAAAUGCGUAGAUAUUGGGAGGAACAUCAGUAGCGAAGGCGGCUUUCUGGGUCACACCUGACGCUGAGGUACGAAAGCCAGGGGAGCGAACGGG
rnacentral:rRNA from 1 species